UAUCAGAAAAGGCAUAGUCUAUCGAAAGGUAGUGACGCAAAGUUUCAGAUCUAAGGUAAUCAAACGGAUUGCUAUGAUGGCUGGGCUACCGAA
rnacentral:ncRNA from 1 species